GGUGAACGCUGGCGGCGUGCCUAAUACAUGCAAGUCGAGCGGACGCACAAUAAGCGCUCUCCUCUGAGGUUGGCGAGUGACGGGUGGGUAACACGUGGAUAACCUACUUCUAUUACUUGGAUGACUUCGUAGAACCGGAUCUAAUACUGGCGCAUAUUUUGUACCGCAGGGUUCAAAAGUGAAAGACACUCUUCCUGUCUCUUUUAGAUGGAUCCGUGUUGGAUUAGCUAGUUGGUAAGGUAACGGCUUACCAAGGCAACGAUGCAUAGCCGACCUGAGAGGGUGAUCAGCCACACUGGAACUGAGACACGGUCCAGACUCCUACGGGAGGCAGCAGUAGGGAAUAUUCCGCAAUGGGCGCAAGCCUGACGCAGCCACGCCGCGUGAGUGAAGAAGGCCUUCGGAUCGUAAAACUCUGUUAUUAGGGAAGAAAAUCUGUGUAAGUAUCUGUGGCCAUCUUGACGGUACCUAAUGAGAAAGCACCGGCUAACUACGUG
rnacentral:rRNA from 1 species